UUUUACUUUUGUGUUAAUUUGUUAAUAAAAUAAUGAAUUCAAAAUUAUUUUUUAUUUUUGAACUAAAAAAUCCUGAAACAGUGGUGACUUCUAAUCAAAUAAUUAGAAGUCAUAUUACAUAAAUUAUUCUAUUGUUGGACUUAUUAUGUAUAGUCUUUUCACUUUUUAUAUUUUAAAAUUUUCUUUCAGACAUCCAGUUUGAAUAUUGCUAAUAGUAACGUAACAAAUAAAUUGGUUAUCGUCACUAAAGAUAAAUAAAAUAAACUUACAUAUGAAAUUACUUAUAUAGGCAACUCGAAAUUUGAUUUAGAUGAUUUACAGUCUGGUCCAAAAAGAUCCAUAUUAGAGUUAUGUGGGUCUAGAGUUCUUGCAAAUGUAAAACUAACAAAACUGGAUGAUCAUGCUAUUAUUAUAUUACAAAAACUCAUUUAACUCUUAUUCCAAAAUAGACAAGACAUUAUAACGUAACUGUCAAUAAAACUGACACUAUUCAUACCUAGCUAAUAAGUCAAUCUAAACUAGAAUUUGCCGCUAAUAGGUAAUGUAUGAAAAGUCUAAUUGAUAUGACAAUUUUUUGAGUAUCCAAAGACUGACUUGACACAAUGAAAACAGAUCAUCAUUAAAUCAAGGGAAUUUCAACAAAACCUGUUUUAUUUUCCAAGCUUUCCAUGUUUUCUGAAAUAUUUAACAAAGAAACAAAUUACACAAGUCACCAUAUUCAAAAUGAAAUAAUUGAAAUAUGUGCAAAUAGCGUAAAAGAGUAAAUAGUAUAAUGUGUGAUGAAGCAAGAUUUUAUAAAGAAGAACAAAUGAUUAAUAUUAUUUUGAAACUUAUAAAUUAAAUACUAAAGCUCAAAUAAUUUCAGAAUCCUAUAAUGGUUAGAAUUUCUGUGGAAAUAUCAUGCCUGGAAAUUUAAUGGAGUCAAUCAAGAAUAAGAAUUGGUAUGUUUUAUAGAAUAAAUAUUUUGGUUGCAGAUAGGUGCAAAAUGUUAAA